rnacentral:lncRNA from 1 species
CCGCAUGGUUCCAAAACAUUUUAUGCACGCCUUCCAUCGCUGAGAAGAAGAACCAGCAUCUCUAUUUAUAGCUGGGUCCACUGGAGGAUCUCAACUGAAAAUAGCACCGGACAUGUGCCGCCAGGCAUGAACCAAUGACUCAGAAGCCAUUUCGGAUCUCAGCAGCCUGGAAGGCAUCGCUGAACACGGGAUCCAAGUCUGGGAGCCUGUGAGUGACUGGCUAAAAGGCAUUCCAAAGACUGGCUCGCUCAAAGUCUCCUUCUCACAAAUGGGGAAGCAGGGGUUUCUCAUCUCUUCAACGUUAUGCUCCUGUAGAACUCCAUUUUAGCCUCAGACUCCCAACCC